AGAAGGGCUAGGCAAAUGAGGUUAAAGGACUUCCCAAGGGUUACACAGGAUCUGAGGAUAGAUUUGAACUCAGAACCUCCUGACUCUAGGUCUGAUGCUCUAUCCACUAUUCCACUUAGUUGCCUGUUACAAGUAAUUUUUUAAACCUAAAUAGAAGACUAUAAAUUUUGUCUAUUAAUUAUCACCGUGUUAUAUUGAUCUCAGUGUAUAAUUUUGUCAAGAUCUUUUUGGAUGCUAAAUGUGUCAUCUAGAGUGUUGGAUGUCCAUCCUCUCUUUGUAUCUUGUGCACAUAUGAUGAGCAUGUUAAAUAUACCUUUAUCUAAGAGGGUAGAUCAUUCCUUCUCCCUGUAAGAGUAAGAGAGGUAACCACUCAUGUGAUACUCCUUAGGUGCACAUUUGUCCAAAAUCCUCGACAGGGACUGGGAUAAAAGAGAAAUAAGGUCGAUCCUUAGAACGGUACUUGGUACAUAUUAGAAUCAUAAUAAAUGUUGAUAGAUUGAUUGAAUAUUUGAUUUUUGUCCUCAAACAUUUCAACUUGGGAAACUUGCUUGCGUGAACAAGUAAAGAACUACUUAAACUUGCUGCAAAUACAGAACAAGUACUGACCUUUAAAAGGAGAUAUAGGUGAGGUCUAAAUCCUCUGAAUCACCCAAAGAAAAGGACUACCUAAAUUAAAGAUUGUAGAAGCUGGCUGCUGGAGAGGAAAGAGCAGGGUCUGUGGAAGAGAAACAAAGAGAGAGAGGAUCUGCAGAACAAGCCUGCAUGCAGACUAAGGUAAUUAUCUGUCUGUCAAUCAAGGAGAAGUUUCCAAAUGGAAUGUUCCGAGGAGAAGGCAGUUGAGCAGACCAAGGGGAGGAACUGAUUCUGUCUCUCUCUCUGGGGUGACUGACCAGGAGACUUUGGCUCUCUGGGUUUUUCUGACAAAGGAGGUCCCAGGAGAAAGGACAUUUGGGCCCUACUGUAAGCAAGUAACUUCAGGUUUUCUUCCCAGAUUGAGACUAUGUCAGGGCCAAAUUCUGGGCACUUUUGGGACUGUGUACUUCUAUUGUCCUCACCAGUCUUAUUUGGGAUUCUGCCACUGUGUUCUUUGGGUGCAAUGUUCUUUAAAAAAUCACAGAGUUUGUAAAUGACCAAAUAAAAUAAUGUUUAAAAAAAAUCA
rnacentral:lncRNA from 1 species